GACGGAGGGGGCUAGCGUUGUUCGGAAUUACUGGGCGUAAAGGGCGCGUAGGCGGAUUAGUAAGUUGGGAGUGAAAGCCCGGGGCUCAACCUCGGAACUGCUCUCAAAACUGCUAGUCUAGAGUAGAGUAGGGGAUGAUGGAAUUCCUAGUGUAGAGGUGAAAUUCUUAGAUAUUAGGAGGAACACCGGUGGCGAAAGCGGUCAUCUGGACUUUUACUGACGCUGAGGCGCGAAAGCGUGGGGAGCAAACAGG
rnacentral:misc_RNA from 1 species